CAGCCGCCACGGGAAUACGUAGGGGGCAAGCGUUAUCCGGAAUUACUGGGUGUAAGGGGAGCGUAGACGGUUAAACAAGUCUGAAGUGAAAUGCCGGGGCUCAACCCCGGAGCUGCUUUGGGAACUGUAGAACUGGAGUGUCGGAGGGGUAAGCGGAAUUCCCAGUGUAGCGGUGAAAUGCGUAGAUAUUGGGAGGAACACCGGCGGCGAAGGCGGCUUACUGGACGACAACUGACGUUGAGGCUCGAAGGCGUGGGUAGCAAACAGGAUUAGAUACCCCAGUAGUCCCUGUCUCUUAUAA
rnacentral:rRNA from 1 species